GACAGAGGUGCCGAGCGUUAGGCGGAAUCACUGGGCUUAAAGCGUGUGUAGGCGGAUCGUUAAGUACCUUGUGAAAUCCCACGGCUCAACCGUGGAACUGCGUGGUAUACUGGCGAUCUUGAGCAGCUUAGGGGCAGACGGAACAAGUGGUGGAGCGGUGAAAUGCGUAGAUAUCACUUGGAACGCCGACGGUGAAAACAGUCUGCUGGGAGCUUGCUGACGCUGAGACACGAAAGCCAGGGGAGCGAACGGG
rnacentral:rRNA from 1 species